rnacentral:rRNA from 1 species
GAACUGCGAAUGGCUCAUUACACCAGCCUUAAUUUACUUGACCUUGACACCCUACUUGGAUAACUGUGGUAAUUCUAGAGCUAAUACAUGCACCAAAGCUCCAAUCUCCCCAGAGCGGAGCGCAUUUGUUCGCCACAAAACCAAGCGCCUCAGGGCGUUCAGUGUUGACUCAGAACAACUAAGCUGAUCGCACGGUCUUGCACCGGCGACGUGUCUUUCAAGUGUCUGCCUUAUCAACUUUCGAUGGUAGUGUAUCUGACUACCAUGGUGAUGACGGGUAACGGAGGAUAAGGGUUCGACUCCGGAGAAGGGGCCUGAGAAAUGGCCACUACGUCUAAGGAUGGCAGCAGGCGCGCAAAUUACCCACUCUCGACGCGAGGAGGUAGUGACGAGAAAUAACGAGACCGUUCUCAUCUGAGGCCGGUCAUCGGAAUGGGUACAAUUUAAACCCUUUAACGAGUAUCUAUGAGAGGGCAAGUCUGGUGCCAGCAGCCGCGGUAAUUCCAGCUCUCAAAAUGCAUAGAAUUAUUGCUGCGGUUAAAAAGCUCGUAGUUGGAUCUGUGCUGAGCGACCGGUCUGCCCACUGGGCACGCACUGGCUCGCCCGGCUUUCCCUGCCGGUCUCUCUCUGACGUUGGUUUUAACCGGCUGGCGUCAGUGGGCUGGCGAGUUUACUUUGAACAAAUCAGAGUGCUUCAAACAGGCGUCUCGCCUGAAUGUUCGUGCAUGGAAUAAUAGAAGAGGAUCACGGUCCGAUUUUAUUGGUUUUGCUGACCGAGAUAAUGGUUAACAGAGACAAACGGGGCCAUUCGUAUUGCUACGUGAGAGGUGAAAUUCUUGGACCGUAGCAAGACGGACUACAGCGAAAGCAUUUGGCAAGAAUGUCUUCAUUAAUCAAGAACGAAAGUCAGAGGUUCGAAGGCGAUCAGAUACCGCCCUAGUUCUGACCGUAAACGAUGCCAACUAGCGAUCCGCCGGCGGAUUCAUUCGCCCUGGUGGGGAGCUUCCCGGAAACGAAAGUCUUCCGGUUCCGGGGGAAGUAUGGUUGCAAAGCUGAAACUUAAAGGAAUUGACGGAAGGGCACCACCAGGAGUGGAGCCUGCGGCUUAAUUUGACUCAACACGGGGAAACUCACCCGGCCCGGACACCGUAAGGAUUGACAGAUUGAUAGCUUUUUCAUGAUUCGGUGGAUGGUGGUGCAUGGCCGUUCUUAGUUCGUGGAGCGAUUUGUCUGGUUUAUUCCGAUAACGAGCGAGACUCUGGCCUACUAAAUAGUUGGCACAUUGCCACUGUGUGCACAACUUCUUAGAGGGAUUUUCGGUGUUCAGCCGCACGAAAUUGAGCAAUAACAGGUCUGUGAUGCCCUUAGAUGUCCGGGGCUGCACGCGCGCUACACUGGCAAAAUCAGCGUGCUUGUCCUCCCCCGAAAGGGGUUGGUAAACCGAUGAAAAUUUGCCGUGAUUGGGAUCGGACAUUGCAAUUAUUGUCCGUGAACGAGGAAUCCCUUGUAAGGGCGAGUCAUCAACUCGUCCUGAAUACGUCCCCGCCCUUUGUACACACCGCCCGUCGCUGCCCGGGACUGAGCCAUUUCGAGAAAACCGGGGAUUGUUGGCCUGACGGCUCUCGGGUCGUCUAGCCGAUGAGAACCGGCUUAAUCGCACUGGUUUGAACCGGGCAAAAGUCGUAACAAGGUAGCUGUAGGUGAACCUGCGGCAGGAUCA